GGAGAGGUGUCCGAGUGGCUGAAGGUGCAGCAUUGGAAAUGCUGUGUAGGGCAACCUACCGCGGGUUCGAAUCCCGCCCUCUCCGCCA
rnacentral:tRNA from 1 species